rnacentral:lncRNA from 1 species
CACUGCUUUAUAAUUGAUGAAAUAGACUCAACAAUAAAAGAUACUGCACAUAUAUCAUUUGUACAGUUAUGAUAACUUCCAGAGAAUUACAUAAAUUGAGACUAAAACUUGGUACAAAUAUAACAAUUUAUUAUCAAACAAUAACACUUUUGUAACUGAGGCACACAAGUUCCUUCAUAUAAAACAUGUUUGUAUUUUAUCAGAUCAUUAAAACUCAACAAAGUACUUUAUUAAAUUAUAAUUAUGCAAUAGAUAUCCAGGAUCCUGCAGGCAUGUACACGUAAAUAGUCUGCUAUUAUUAUUUCAUACAUUUCAAAAUUGUCUUUUGGGUAAAAAUGUAAUGAUUAUUAUUACAAAAACAAACUAGUUGCAUUUUUCACACCAAAUCAUUGACAAAAAUCUAUGGAUAUCUAUAAUUUUGGCAUGUGUGCAUACACAAUUUUGAAAAGUUUGAAAUUGUGGUCAUGCAGGUCAAAGGCUGUAGUUUGCACAGUAAGAAUGUAACAAUCAAAUAUCAUCUUCUUGACCUCAAUAUGGUUUGGCCUGAAAAUUUGCUGGACUUAAUUAACCUUUUGGUACAUCAAGAAGCUUUCAUUGAAAUAAACCUUAGUUUAACUGGUUCAUGGAAAAUAAAUUGGUUCACUGACAAUUUGGCUUUUUUAACUUUUUUGGAUUCGAGCGUCACUUAUGAGUCUUUUGUAGACGAAACGCGCGUCUGGCGUAUAUACAAAAAGUCCUGGUAUCAAUGAUGAGUUUAUUUGGACCUAUAUGCAAAAUGUUAACCUGAAUCAUUAAAAAAUAAAAUCCAAAUUUGAUUUGAAAUCUUUACAUGCUUUAGAGAAUUUUCAUGUAAAACUUUGUAACUGUCAUGAUUAGAAAU